rnacentral:rRNA from 1 species
CCUACGGGGGGCAGCAGUGGGGAAUAUUGGACAAUGGGCGAAAGCCUGAUCCAGCCAUGCCGCGUGUGUGAAGAAGGCCUUCGGGUUGUAAAGCACUUUCAGUGGGGAAGAAAGCCUUGGGGCUAAUACCCUCGAGGAAGGACAUCACCCACAGAAGAAGCACCGGCUAACUCCGUGCCAGCAGCCGCGGUAAUACGGAGGGUGCGAGCGUUAAUCGGAAUUACUGGGCGUAAAGCGCGCGUAGGCGGUCUGAUAAGCCGGUUGUGAAAGCCCCGGGCUCAACCUGGGAACGGCAUCCGGGACUGUCAGGCGAGAGUGCAGGAGAGGAAGGUAGAAGUCCCGGUGUAGCGGUGAAAUGCGUAGAGAUCGGGAGGAAUACCAGUGGCGAAGGCGGCCGUCUGGACUGACACUGACGCUGAGGUGCGAAAGCGUGGGUAGCAAACAGGAUUAGAUACCCGGUAGUC